ACUCAGAGUGCCAUGGAAGCCAUCUCCAAAGGAUGAGCACAGGCAGGCCCCGCGCCUGCCCGGAGGGAGCUGUAAGCAGAGGAAGGUGAAGUGGCCUGAAGAAAUGUCUGUACUGGAGACAGUCGGGGCUGUGUGCCUCUGCCUGACGCAACAUCAUUUCAGACGUGGAGGAAGGAUCUGUUGGCAGAUCUUGGGACUCAAAUGGGCUGGACUUCUAAGAAAAAAUAUACCCAGGCCUCUCUAUUCCACCAAUUUUCAUUCUUUCAUACAUACAUAUUUAUUUAUUUAAACAGACUUUAUAUUUUAGGCAGUUUUAGUUCACAGCAAAUUUGAGCAGAAAAUGCAGAGGUCCCAUAGACUUCCUUACCCAACAUACCCACGGCCUCCCGCUCUGUCAACACCCUGCAGCUGAUUCAUCUGACAGUCGAUGAAACGAUUCACACAUCAUUAUCACCCAAAGUCCAUCAUCUACAUUACAGACUCUUGGUGUCGUACAUUCUGUGCGAUUUGACAAAUGUACAAUGACGUGUACCUGCCAUUGCUGUGUCAUACAGAGUAAUUUCAGCGCCUGAUAAUCCUCCAUGCUCCGCCUGCUAACCUCUUCCUCCCCCAACCCCUGGUCCCCAAGGCUUUGCUUUUUCCAGAGUGUCACAUAGUUGGAAUCGUACGGAACAUAGCCUUUUCAGAGCGGCUUCUUUCACUUAAUAAUACGCAUUUACCUUUCCUCCAUGUUUGUUCACGGCUUGAUAGCUCAUUUCCACUGAAUAAUAUUCCAUGGUCUGGAUGUAGCCAUUUUCAUAUAUUUUUAAGAAGACAGACUGUUUCAUGGGGCGACAUGAUUUGUUAAUAACUAGUAUUAUAAUUAAACUUACAAUAAAAG
rnacentral:lncRNA from 1 species